GCUUGGGUGGCUCAGUUGGUUAAGCGUCCGACUUUGGCUCAGGUCAUGAUCUCACGGUUCAUGGGUUCGAGCCCCAUGUCAGGCU
rnacentral:tRNA from 1 species